GUGUCCAGUUUACCAAGAUUCUACUUACAUACAUCUUUUCUCAUCUUUAUGUGCUAUGUAAAGCUAAAUAAAUCUGCUCAUUGGAAAGUGCUAAGAGUGGCAGUAAAUCCAAAAUUAAUAUAGGGCAGUGGUCUUUAUUUAUAGGUGUAAUAUUAUUCUGUCUCUAUUUGUCCACCUUCAACUCUACAUUUCUGAGGGUCAUAAGUUUUGGAACCAGAGAGAACUCUGUUAAUUUCGCGACUUUGGAGCCCGGAUAAAUUACCUAAUGUCUGUAAGUUUCAGGUUCUGCAUUUCUGAAAAUCAGGAAAGCUCCUACUUCAAAGCCUUGGUAUACUAGAUAAGACAUUAAAAGUGAAAUUAUUUAACAUAGUGCCUGAUCAGCAACGUUCCUUUCCCCUACUGGAGUUAGGAGGCCUUGCAAAAGUCAAGCAUGCCUCAUAGCUGCGUGAACUUGUGGAAAGUUAAUUCACCUCUCUGAGUCUCAGUCUCCUCAACCGUGGAAUAAGAAUAAUGACAUUUUCUUGAUACAGGUUCCUCUAAGUCACAAAUGUAAAAGACAGCAAGCUCAAUAUGCAGACCAUAUGGUCAUAUCAAUCUUUGUUUCCCUUCCUUUCUCCGUCUUCCCCUCUAGCGUCUCCUGCAGUUCCAAGCUGACACGGCAGAUGGUGUAGUUGAAUCGCCCAGGGAGCCUCAGCACAGCGGCCUCAGUCACCUCUCCACAAGGCAGCUGCCCCAAGCUGCAUUCAUUGGGACAAACCUACCUUCCUUCUAGAAUGUGAGUCAGAUGCGGCAGUGGUACUGCAGGCGGCAGCAAUGGCAGUGUCACAACACAGACUGAGAUUUGGCUUCAACACCGAACCGCUUGGGGGCUCUCAUGGAUGCAAAGUGUGUCGUUUCCUUGUGGAAGGACAGUGAAGGCAGGUGUUUGCUGCUCUCCUGCAGGCUCUUGGGCAUGCUUCAGAGGGUUUCCUCCUCCAAGAAGCUGCGUUAGCACUGGACCAACGACAAACAAGUGAAGGGCUUGGGUCAGGAUACCUGUGUUACAGCUGCAGAAUGUCAAGCACAGGGGCAGUGACUACAGCUUGCCAGGGCAGAGCCCACAGAGCAUUAUCCUAAAUAUCAUGGCCACAAAUCCAAAUUAAGUGUUGGUGACUCAGGUACCAUGCGCUGCAUUGAAUGACUCAGUAAAAUUCCAACCAAAUGAUAAUGCAAACAUGAAAUCAGCAAGCAAGCAUAAUUUCUGGAAAUGAUAGAGUCCCACCGAGACUUGGCAAACAGGCCGUCCAUUUUCCCCUUGUUGCACAGUGUCACAAUGCCUCUUCUACAGAUGUGGCCCCCUGAGCUGUGAACUCCUUGAAGACAAGGACUAGAACAGUGCCUGGCACAGUCCAUGUUGUAUACAGGAGGAAGAGGAUGUGGCUGAGUGUGGCACUGGGGCACGUGAAUGCCCACAUGCAGAGGGGAUGCUUGACAAUUAAACCACCCAUAAAGCAAGGCAUUAUAAAUGGCUGUGAGUGUGGCCAGCAUUGACUUUGGGCAACAGAGCUCUGGAUUUGCUAAGCCUCACGGGUCCUCUAAGGCUGUGCUCUCCUAGCCGAAUCCGCACAUCAGCCCUCUCCGGAGACCUGCUGGAUGGUCCUCACCGCCGUGUCAUUUGAAAGCGCUCUUGGCCUUUGUUUCCUCCUAGAACAUACAUUGUCCUGCAAAGAGCAUGUGCUUCAGAUGUUAUCUUAUUUCAUCCUUCCAUGUGGGUUUUACCGUCCCCUUGAACAAGGAGAAAACUAAGGCUGAGAACAUUGAAGUAGCACGAUCAUGGCAGAGCAUCUUCAAGGUCAGCUGGAAGAAGAAGAAUCUGGUUACCAGGUGUAAACCCCAGAGUUGGAAGCACAAUUUGAGAAUGCAGGUAAGCGACGCUGAAUGGAAUGGCAAGGGAACCCAGUGGUUUCUGUGUGAUCUGUGAUUCACCCACGUAUGAAUCCAGUUACUGAAAUUGACCUUUUGUCCACAGUGCUCUCUUCCGGAUUCCAGUGGCCAUGCUCCUGACUCCUCGAUUUUUAUCUCUUGCACCUUUUUUCACCUUCCUGCCCUUGACAACUGUUCAGUUCUUCUUUUCAAGCUUGCUGAACUGCAUUCUACUUAAUUUGGACCUAAUUCAGCUUUGUUCAUUUUUGUUUGAGUUUUCAACAAGAUAUUGACUAGGUCUAUUAGCCUGGUGUUUUCUCAAAACAAUGUAUGUGCAUUUUAAAGUUUUUAGUAUCCAGACCAUUACUGAAGUGCUACAAAAUUAAGACACCAUUAGCAACCACCCACUAACCCCACAAUAGCUCUUGGAGAACUACCAUUUGGUGUGUUUUUUGCCCUUGCUCUUUAUAGUCUUGUUUUGAAAAUUAUGGUACAAUACACAUAACACAAAAUUUACCAUUAGUGACACUUAGUACAUUGGCAGUGUUGUGCAACCAUCACCACUAUCUAGUUUGGGGUUUUCAUCACCUCUAAAGGAAACCCUGUACCCAUUAGUCAGUCUCUCCAUUCUCUCCUCCCCGCUGCCUUUGGCAACCACCAUCUGCAUUCUGUCUCUAUGGAUUUGCCUAUUUUGAAUAUUGCAUAUACACGGA
rnacentral:lncRNA from 1 species